ACUAGUAUUUGGAUACUUUUAGUUUUAGUUGUUUUGGCCUUCUCUAUCCAAGGUGUGAAAAAUGGCAAUUUCUAUAUUUCUGGGAAAUUAAUUUUCAAGGUUGACUUUUAGCCAGUAACCUGGAGUGUUAACAUAGUCCAUAUGUCUGACUAGUGAAGGUUGACUGAAAAGUAUGGAAGCUCUAGUGAAAGUCCAUUUUUCCUGCUCCUUUUUGCUAAUCACAGGAUUCCAUUAUACUGACAAUAAUCUACAGUUAUUCGGAUCUGAAUGCUGAUCCCCGGUGAAGCUGGGAUGGAGGUAAAAUAUGUGGACUUUUUUCUCUGUAGUGCUGCUUUUCAUGUUGAGCAAACAUGCAGCACUUAUAAUUUGUUCUCCUGUAGUAUUUGUCAUCUUUUUAGCACUCUCUUAAGAUUAUAAUUCCCGCCCAAUAUUUUCUUUUUAAACUACAUCUCAUUUAAAUACACGCUUUGUGUUUUCUUAAAAUAAAUACUGUCAUGCAGCUCUUCUACUUCCUUUAUUGAGAAAACAGUAAUACUCAUACGAUUGUGGAAAAAAAGUUGAGAGGGAGGGAGAGACAGGGAAAGGAAACAGAAAUCAUAACCAAAAAGUUCGCACUGAUUAUUGAAAUAGUCAGUGCUCCCUUGGGCUGCGGGGAAGGGAAAGGCACUUUUACAGUGUUUUGGAACAUUUUUCUUCUUCACGAUUCUGACUUUUCACCACGUAUUUAUGCUACAUUGAGAGAGGAGAAGAAGAGAAAAAGAGCUCAGAGGUUUUACAAUGAACAUUGCAGUGGGCAUACCAUGGAGCCAGACCACCAGCAGAGCAUUAAACAAGGACAGAUGUGAAUGCCAGGAUAAAAAUGAAGACAUUCCUGAAGUCAAGACAUCUCACCCUAUCACUAGCACACUUUUGGGUAUUAUGAAGAAAAAGAUUGAAAUUCACCUGGGAGCGCAUGCUGCUAAACCAAGCUCAUGUAUGAAAUUGACAGCUCAUAAGGUAAAAGGCCUUUACUUCAAAAUGACAGCAGCGCUCUGA
rnacentral:lncRNA from 1 species